ACCAAGGCGACGAUGGGUAGCCGGGCUGAGAGGUUGUUCGGCCACACUGGGACUGAGACACUGCCCAGACUCCUUCGGGAGGCUGCAGUCGAGAAUCUUUCGCAAUGCGCGCAAGCGUGACGGAGCGACGCCGCGUGGAUGAUGAAGGCCUUCGGGUUGUAAAAUCCAGUCGCGGGGGAAGAAUGGCAGGAAGUUAAUAGCUUUUCUGUUUGACGUUACCCCGGGUGAAGCGCCGGCUAAACACGUGCCAGCAGCCGCGGUAAUACGUGUGGCGCAAGCGUUGUUCGGAAUCACUGGGCAUAAAGAGCGCGUAGGCGGUGCUGUAAGUCGGGUGUGAAAGCCCUCGGCUCAACCGAGGAACUGCAUUCGAAACUGCAGCGCUAGAGUGCGGAAGGGGGGAGCGGAAUUCCUGGUGGAGCGGUGAAAUGCGUAGAUAUCAGGAGGAACGCCGGUGGCGAAGGCGACUCUCUGGUCCGUUACUGACGCUCAGUGCGCGAAAGCUAGGGGAGCAAACAGGAUUAGAUACCCUGGUAGUCCUAGCUGUAAACGAUGGGCACUAGGUAGUGGGGGUUACCGACAUCCUCACUGCUGAAGCUAAUGUAUUAAGUGCCCCGCCUGGGGAGUAUGCUCGCAAGGGUGAAACUCAAAGGAAUUGACGGGGGCUCACACAAGCGGUGGAGCAUGUUGUUUAAUUCGAGCCUACGCGAAGAACCUUACCUGGGUUUGAAACGGUUGGUAUAAAGCUAUCGAAAGAUAGUGGAUUGCCCUUCGGGGUGUAACCUUCCACAGGUGCUGCAUGGCUGUCGUCAGCUCGUGUCGUGAGAUGUUGGGUUAAGUCCCGUAACGAGCGAAACCCCUGUCCCUAGUUGCUAGCGGGUAAUCCGAGGACUCUAGGGAGACUGCCGGUGUUAAACCGUGAGGAAGGUGGGGACGACGUCAAGUCAUCAUGGCCUUUAUAUCCAGGGCUACAAACGUGCUACAAUGGCCGGUACAAAGGGAUGCGAACCCGCGAGGCGGAGCAAAUCCCAAAAAACCGGCCCCAGUUCAGAUUGGAGGCUGCAAUUCGCCUCCAUGAAGUUGGAAUCGCUAGUAAUCGCGUGUCAGCCAUAACGCGGUGAAUGUGUUCCUGAGCCUUGUACACACCGACCGUCAAGCCAUCCAAGCAGGGCGCACCCGUAAUCGCUGACCCAACCCGCAAGGGAGGGAGGUGCUGAAGGUGAGCUUUGUGAGGAGGACUAAGUCGUAACAAGGUA
rnacentral:rRNA from 1 species